GACGAACGCUGGCGGCGUGCCUAAUACAUGCAAGUAGAACGCUGAAGCGAGGAGCUUACUCUUCUUGGAUGAGUUGCGAACGGGUGAGUAACGCGUAGGUAACCUGCCUUGUAGCGGGGGAUAACUAUUGGAAACGAUAGCUAAUACCGCAUAACAAUGGAUGACACAUGUCAUUUAUUUGAAAGGGGCAAUUGCUCCACUACAAGAUGGACCUGCGUUGUAUUAGCUAGUAGGUGAGGUAAUGGCUCACCUAGGCGACGAUACAUAGCCGACCUGAGAGGGUGAUCGGCCACACUGGGACUGAGACACGGCCCAGACUCCUACGGGAGGCAGCAGUAGGGAAUCUUCGGCAAUGGGGGCAACCCUGACCGAGCAACGCCGCGUGAGUGAAGAAGGUUUUCGGAUCGUAAAGCUCUGUUGUAAGUCAAGAACGGGUGUGAGAGUGGAAAGUGCACACUGUGACGGGAGCUUACCAGAAAGGGACGGCUAACUACGU
rnacentral:rRNA from 1 species